CUAGAGCCUUGGCGUCAGUCUAGAGCACAAGAGUUCAGUAAUAGAUCUAGUUCUUACUUUAUUGUAUUCAUUGUAUAUAUUAGGGAGACUUUAUUCUUAAUAGAUUCAUAUGUUCUUAAUUGCAAUAGUUCUUGUCUACUUUGAUUAUAUGUCAAGGAUAGUUGGUUUGAUCUUAUUGAAUUCAUGUAAUUGCUCGUAUAAUGUUUACCUAAUCGAUCGUUGGGUAGAUGUUAGACAAUAUGUAGACGUGGUGUCUACAUAUCUUGUUUGUGUGCGAGUGCACCCUAACGUGUCGGGACGUGUGGUAGUCCGCGCAGGUGACAGCUGUGUUGGUUUCUCUGUAGUCCACCCUCCAUAUGUAGGACUAGCAUGGGCACGGUCGCAAAGGAGGUGACCCUUGUGUCUUAAUACCCUCAUUACUUGAUGCCUCUUUACAUGUGAUUAUGAUGUAGGGUUAACUUAACAAUAUUUUCUAGAUGU
rnacentral:lncRNA from 1 species